UCCACAGCCCCUGCCGUGUUGGCUUCAUCUUCGAGCCGGACUCCAGGCUGCCACCCUGCCAGAUGUUCUGUGGACAUCAGCUGCUUCUUGACAGACAGCCAUCCUCCACCAUAAUCACCCACACAUGGUGGAUGAAUGUGGACUAAGCAAAUGGAUGCUGAGAGUAUUUACAAGGAAAAUUGAAAGCUGAGUUUCUUCUCCACCCUCCAGCAAACAUCGCUAGAGGCAAGCCCGGAGAUCCGGUUCACCAGGAGUGGUUAUGAAGUCUGCAGUGACUUA